rnacentral:rRNA from 1 species
UGUGUGAAGAAGGCUUAUGGUUGUAAAGCAUUUAAGCGAAGAGGAGGCUCUUUUGGUUAAUACCCAAGAUGAGUGGACGUUACUCGCAGAAUAAGCACCGGCUAACUCUGUGCCAGCAGCCGCGGUAAUACAGAGGGUGCGAGCGUUAAUCGGAUUUACUGGGCGUAAAGCGUGCGUAGGCGGCUUUUUAAGUCGGAUGUGAAAUCCCCGAGCUUAACUUGGGAAUUGCAUUCGAUACUGGGAAGCUAGAGUAUGGGAGAGGAUGGUAGAAUUCCAGGUGUAGCGGUGAAAUGCGUAGAGAACUGGAGGAAUACCGAUGGCGAAGGCAGCCAUCUGGCCUAAUACUGACGCUGAGGUACGAAAGCAUGGGGAGCAAACAGGAUUAGAUACCCUGGUAGUCCAUGCCGUAAACGAUGUCUACUAGCCGUUGGGGUCUUUGAGACUUUAGUGGCGCAGCUAACGCGAUAAGUAGACCGCCUGGGGAGUACGGUCGCAAGACUAAAACUCAAUUGAAUUGACGGGGGCCCGCACAAGCGGUGGAGCAUGUGGUUUAAUUCGAUGCAAAGCGAAGAACCUUACCUGGUCUUGACAUAGUAAGAACUUUCCAGAGAUGGAUUGGUGCCUUCGGGAACUACAU